AACCUAGCACACCUGCGGUGUGUACCUGCGGAGGGAUCAUUACAAGUGACCCCGGUCUAACCACCGGGAUGUUCAUAACCCUUUGUUGUCCGACUCUGUUGCCUCCGGGGCGACCCUGCCUUCGGGCGGGGGCCCCGGGUGGACACUUCAAACUCUUGCGUAACUUUGCAGUCUGAGUAAACUUAAUUAAUAAAUUAAAACUUUUAACAACGGAUCU
rnacentral:misc_RNA from 1 species